UAGGGAAUCUUCGGCAAUGGACGAAAGUCCGACCGAGCAACGCCGCGUGAGUGAAGAAGGUUUUCGGAUCGUAAAACUCUGUUGUUAGAGAAGAACAAGGACGUUAGUAACUGAACGUCCCCUGACGGUAUCUAACCAGAAAGCCACGGCUAACUACGUUCCAGCAGCCGCGGUAAUACGUAGGUGGCAAGCGUUGUCCGGAUUUAUUGGGCGUAAAGCGAGCGCAGGCGGUUUCUUAAGUCUGAUGUGAAAGCCCCCGGCUCAACCGGGGAGGGUCAUUGGAAACUGGGAGACUUGAGUGCAGAAGAGGAGAGUGGAAUUCCAUGUGUAGCGGUGAAAUGCGUAGAUAUAUGGAGGAACACCAGUGGCGAAGGCGGCUCUCUGGUCUGUAACUGACGCUGAGGCUCGAAAGCGUGGGGAGCAAACAGG
rnacentral:rRNA from 1 species